rnacentral:rRNA from 1 species
GGUGAGUAAUGCAUAGGAAUCUACCUAGUAGUAUGGGAUAGCCACUAGAAAUGGUGGGUAAUACUGUAUAAUCCCUGCGGGGGAAAGAUUUAUCGCUAUUAGAUGAGCCUAUGUUAGAUUAGCUAGUUGGUAGGGUAAAGGCCUACCAAGGCAGUGAUCUAUAGCUGGUCUGAGAGGAUGAUCAGCCACACUGGAACUGAGAUACGGUCCAGACUCCUACGGGAGGCAGCAGUGGGGAAUAUUGGACAAUGGGCGCAAGCCUGAUCCAGCUAUGCCGCGUGAGUGAGGAAGGCCUUAGGGUUGUAAAACUCUUUCAGUGGGGAAGAUAAUGACGGUACCCACAGAAGAAGUCCCGGCAAACUCCGUGCCAGCAGCCGCGGUAAUACGGAGGGGGCAAGCGUUGUUCGGAAUUAUUGGGCGUAAAGGGCAUGUAGGCGGUUCGGUAAGUUGAAGGUGAAAUGCCAGGGCUUAACCCUGGAGCUGCUUUUAAUACUGCCAGACUCGAGUCCGGGAGAGGAUAGCGGAAUUCCUAGUGUAGAGGUGAAAUUCGUAGAUAUUAGGAGGAACACCAGUGGCGAAGGCGGCUAUCUGGUC